rnacentral:rRNA from 1 species
AACGAACGCUGGCGGCAUGCCUAACACAUGCAAGUCGAACGAAACCUUCGGGUCUUUUCGCGCACGGGUUCGUAACGCGUGGGAACCUUCCCUUAUGUUCUACCUACCUCCCCGACAGGGUUACUAAUACCGGAUAGUGUCUUCGUACCAAUAAUUUAUAGCGUUUGGUUGGGCCCUCGUUGGAUUAGCUUUUUGUUACGGUAAAAGCAUACCACGGCGAAGAUCCAUAGAUGGUUUGAGAGGAUGAGUAGCCACACUGGGAAUGAGACCCGGCCCAGAAUCCUACGGGAGGGAGCAGAGGGGAAUAGUGGACAAUGGGAGAAAGGCUGAUCCAGCAAGGACGGGUGAAUGAUGAAAGCAGUAGGGUUGUAAAGCGUUAGUAACCGGGAGGAUAAUGACAGUACCGGAAGAAUAAGCCCCGGCUAACUCCGUG